UUUUGGAGGGCAGAAAAAAAAUGGGUGAUGAUUACCCUGCUGUCUUAGAAUGAUCCUGGAGAGCUUCAAGCUUUGGGGACACACACCACUGGGACCUGCCUACUGAAUCACACAUGCCUUCCAUGGCAACCCACUCCAGUAUUCUUGCCUGAAGAAUCCCAUGGACAGAGGAGCCUGGCAAGCUAUAGGCCAGGGGUUGCAAAGAGUCAGACACGACUGAGCAACUAACAUCCACCCACACACACAGCGGUCAGAAGACCAAACUGAUCUCUUACCCCUCAAGAAUGACCCUCCUUUCCCGCUUUCAGCCUGCCCCUAACCCCACUCCCAGCCACAUCCUAUUCCUCACCUCAAAACAACUUCCUUAGUAAGAUUUGCCACAUAAGGCCACCCAGAUUACGCUUUUUACAUAUCCAAAGAUGAACCAUGUACAUAGACUAGGAGGUGAAUAGUGAUCCCUAGAAGUCUGUCGUACUACUGUGUAACUGUAUCUUUUAACAUGCCUCUCAGACUC
rnacentral:lncRNA from 1 species